rnacentral:sRNA from 1 species
AAGAGCACCGGAUCGGCAUUGCGGGUGACGACGAGGUAGUCGCGGAUGGCGGUGCCGUGCCUGGCUUC